ensembl:lncRNA
AUGUGGAAUAAAGCGAAACGUUCUCACCAAAUUGCGGCCCCGCAGGACCAUUAUUUGUACAGGAAGCGACAUUUUUAUGAAUUUACUUCGUCAGCGGCCCCUCGGCUGCGUCGGUCCGUUGCCGCGGCAACCAGCUCCCCGUUCUCGCGAGAUUUGGCAGCGCGUCCCAACAUGGCGCCCGGCGCGGCCGUGGACGCGGUGCUGGAGCUGCGGGGCCGGUGCGGGGAGGACGAGGCCCGGAUCGCCGCCAGCGUCCGGCGCUGCAGGCAGCUGCUGCGCGGCAGGGAGACGCGCCUGGUGGAAGCAGCGAGCGCCUCGGAGGAACCGGGCCCGGCGGAGGAUCUUCCUCCUGAGGAGCUCCAAGAUCUCCAUCUGCUGGACCGACUGCUGGAGAAGGCCAUGCGGGUUCGCAGCGGUGUCACCAGGCUGGGCGUGGCCGGUCCUCCAUCCAGGGAGCGGACCCGGGCGGCGACCCUGCAGCCACCUGCAGCUCCGUGUCCUCCAUCCAGCCUCAUCGGUGGACCUUCAUCAGUGGUCAGGAAGUCGUCGUCUUCAGCUGGAGCUGCCACCAGGCUGGGCGUGGCCGGUCCUCCAUCCAGGGAGCAGGUGGCGAAGAUGAACCGAACCCGGGCGAUGACUCUGCAGCCACCUGCAGCUCCGUCUCAUCCAUCCAGCCUCAGCAAUGGACCUUCAUCAGUGAGGAGGACAUUGUCAUCGUCAGCUGGAGCUGCCACCAGGCCGGGCGUGGCCGGUCCUACAUCCAGGGAGCGGGUGGCGAAGAUGAACCAAACCCGGGCGGUGACCCUGCAGCCACCUGCAGCUCCGUGUCCUCCAUCCAGCCUCAGCAGUGGACCUUCAUCAGUGAGGAAGUCGUCGUCUUCAGCUGGAGCUGCCACCAGGCCGGGCGUGGCCAGUCCUCCAUCCAGGGAGCGGGUGGCGAAGACGAGCCAGAGCCAGGCGACGACAUUGCAGCCGCCUGCAGCUCCGUCUUGUCCAUUCAGCCUCAGCGAUGGACCUUCAUCAGUGAGGAGGACAUCGUCGUCUUCAGUUCCUCUCUGCAGUGCUCCGCCUUCGCCAGCCUGGGCCGCACCGAUCGCCCGGCAGGACAGGUUGUGGGACGAGGUCGUGUCCCGGCAGCACCAGUCGGUUCCAGAGCGGAGACGCUUCGUUAAGAAGCUGCAGGUCCUGCUUCCAGCUCCUCCCCUGGUCCCCGCGGACGCCCGGUGCGAGGCGGUCCGGCUGGCCCGGCUGGGCGGAGCUCUGAGGCGCUGCUACCACGCGGAGCUGAGCAUGAUGGGAGUGCGGCCGGGUUUGUGGUUUUAGUCCCUGAAGUCCCUGGUGUUGGGAACCUGCGUCCAGCUGCUGAUUGUGUGUUUCAGGCGAAUCGGACGCGAUGCUGGAGCGGCUGGAGAAGAUGAUGGUGGACGUUUGUGCAGAAGCGGCGCAGCUCAGAACCGGUACGUCUGUUAGUCACGUUUCCAGCAGACGUCCUUAAUAAAAGUGUGUGCCGUAUCGGAAGAAAUCCUCCAUCUCUGGUGGAGGUUAAAGGUCGGCAGGUUGAUGGAUUUGCAGGAUGAAAUUACGGCUUGUUCCACCCACACGCCACUCCUCCACCAGCAGGCUCCGCCCAUCACACGCCAGGCGCUCGUUUAUACACUGAUAACAACAACAUUUACAUUUAUUUCUUAUAUAGCGCAAAAUCACAUACAGUACUGAUGUCCACACAAACCUGUCGGUCAGUCUGUGUGUUGUUGUGUGUGUCUGUGUGUGACGUGUCUGUGUUUUGUGUGCGUGUGACGCGUCUGUGUGUGAUGUUGUUGUUGUGUGACGUGUGUUGUGUGCGUGCUUCACACAGAGCUGAACGCCGUGGACGAGUCUGUGUCUAGAGGGAUGUGUCCCGUCAGGAGGGCGGGCUGGGGCGGUCAGGUGAAGCCCCGCCUCCUUCCUGCUUUGAUCUACCGCAGCCAAUCGGAGCUCCAGGAGGUGGAGCUGCUGCGCAUGAGGGUGGAGCUCCUGGAGCAGGAGCUGCACCUGCAGCAGGUGAGACUAAAGCAGGAAGUAUUUUCUACGUUUACUCGCCGGAACUGCUGCAUCAAUGUAUGAUGGGUGUGUUCCCUCAGGUCCUCUCUGAAGCCCUAAGCCCCGCCCAGUCGCCUCCGUCCUCUCUGAGCGCCGCCCGUCUGCGGGGCCUUUACUCCCUGCUUGCUGAAGGCGGGUCCCGCUUUCCUUCUCUGGUGCUGGACUCCAGGCCGCAUAUCCCAUAAUCCCCGGCGUCAUGUGAUCCACCGCCUCGCUGUGCUGAAUAAAGGAUUAAACGACUGCUUGUGUUUUGUGGCGUCAGAGCUGCCUUGUGCAGUGCGUCUCGGUGCAUUGUGGGUGUUUGGCAGCGUGCCGGGGUGGGCGGAUGUGGAACUUUUCACCUUCAGGUGCGAGUCGCUGAGUAAGAGCCUGAGGAGGCGGAUCCUGUGAUAACGGCCGCGAGGGGAGGCGGAGCUAUCUUCGCGCCGGAGGGCCGUGCCCACACAGCCAGUGAGUCACGCUGCUCUGUGUGGAGGAGUGUGUGAACUCGGCGCCACCUGUUGGACAGUCUGGACCCGCCCACACACACCGGUUCUCCCGUCAGGGUGCAGAACGGAGAGGCCUGAACUGCUGUAUUUAGACCCUGAAAAUGGUUCUAGAUGUUGCCAUGGAGCUUCAUCAUGAUAUUCUCAAAUCCAUGUGUAAACUGGAACUCUCGUUUCGGUUAUACGCCAGUGACCUUUAACCCC